rnacentral:misc_RNA from 1 species
GAAUAUUCUAAAGAAUGCUAAUGUGACAUUAAUUGACGGGCGUGGAAAGGUGAUAUGAUUCAUUGAGUCUGUAUUAUGAGUAAAUAUAAAUUGCUGCAACAUGCGUUCUUACCUCCAUGGUUUUAUAAUUCUAUCAUUCAUGCUCAUGGAAUAUAUGCAGACUGUGGUCCCACACACAGUUGAUAUUGAUGGAAAACUCUAUUCAGUGAGACACAUGCUAAUUUCAGUUGGAGGGCAACCCUUCAUUCCUGAAAUUCCUGGA